AUAUGUGAAGCAGCUCCCCUGUCUUCCCGCGCGAUGCUGUGUGGAGCGUUGCCAUGGUAACGCGUGUCAACGCUCCACACAGAUUGCUCGCGGGAGGACAGGGGAGCUGCUUCACAUAU